CCUUCAAGGGGCAGUUUCAGUGAAGUGGUGAAUAAGAGUAACGGAGUUAGAUUGCUCUUGUUUGAAGAGCUGGCAUGAAACAAGAGAGUAGAAACAAUAAGUGCAUACUUUGAGGGAGAUUGGCUCUGAAGAGUGGGAGAAGUAGUUGACACAAUAAACUGGAUCAAGAUCUUCUUGAAUAAUCACAGCAUUUAUAUUAGUCAAAGGUUGGAUGAUGAAAACAGAUUCAAGUAUAUCGACAGUUGCAUUUAUCUAAGCACUCAUUUGGUGUCUUCACUUGAGAAACUUACAGGCAUCUCAAGUUGCAACAUGAUCAAACCAGACAGAGCCUCCUUCAUUCAAGAUUCAACCCACAAUUCUCAAAUUAAUCCUUGAUGGAACCACUUGUCUUAUAAAACAACUCUCUUUCAGCUACCUAGGCUAAAAGUCUUAGUUUCUGUCUUUGGAAUUUGAGGAAGGAGACUAAAAAAUACUCUCCAGAGCAAAGAAACCUCUACUGCCAGUUGAACAUACUGCCUAGCUUUACAGUGACCUUGACAUUCAGGACAUUCUCCAGGCUCCAUGCUCAGGAAAGAACAGACUAUAAAGAAACACAUUUUCUGAUACAAAGGCAAAUGAAGAAUUGGCAAUUAGCAAUUGCAGUAUACCUGUUCCCCCAAUUGUCACGGAUCCAGCGGAGUUGGAGACAAGGAUCGGAAGAAAGAUUCGAAGUCUCACUGAAUUUUAAUCUGGGGGACAUUGGGGACUAAGGCUCGGACUGGGACUCAAGCCAGACUUGGACCCCAAGGCUUUCUCUCUUCCAGUUUUUAUUAAGAGAGCUAGCAGAUUGGCUAUGGGAACUUUGGGAAGCAGAGAAAAACAUGUUUAGUUCAAAAGGUAAAAUAAUAGGUUAUAGACUCAAGGAGUUGGAGGAGCAGAGGAGCUCUAUCUGGAGAACAAUGUGGUCAAGAGUCAGUGUGCCAAAAAAAAAAAAAAGAGUCAGUGUGCCAACUCAGGACCUCACAUAUAUCCCCAAAGUGCCGAAGACUACAAGAUUCAGUUCUCAGGCUCUGCAGCUGAUUCCCCACACCCAAUGAACUAUAAAUUUAAUCAAAAUGAGUGGUUUGUUUGUUUCCAAAGGGAUCCUCAGUGCUGUAGGUAGUAAGUUCCUAAUGUUUUAUUGAAGGUGUGUGGUUGGAUGAAUAAAUAUGCUUUAUCUGAGAGUGGAAAAAUUACUUUUCAACAUGUCAUUUAUACUUUUUAAUUUCUAAAAUAAAUCUCUCCAUCCCUGACAAUUCAAUGGGAGUAGUAUACCAGUUGGUGAUGAUGGUAGUUAUAAUAAUAACUCCUUAAAUGUGCUCAAGUCCCUAGCCCAGAAACCUAUGAAUAUAUUCAGUUACAUGGCAAUAGGGAUUUAGGUUACAGAUAGAAGUAAGAUUGCUAUUCAGCUGACCUUAAAUUAGGCUGAUUGUCUUGGAUUAUUAUUGUUGGGCUCUGCUGUGGACUGAAUGUUUGUAUUCAUCCCCCCAAAUUUAUGUUGGAUCCUAAUGCUCAGUGUGAUAGUGUUCAAAGUGGAGCCCUUUGGGAGGUAAUUAAAUUAUCAGGGCUAAUUCCUCAUGAUUGGGAUUGGUGCCCUUAUAUAAGAGGCCCAAGAGAGCUCCCCUACUCCUUCUGCCAUUUGAAGUUACAGUGAAAAGAUUGUAAAUCCACCAGUGCCUUGAAAUUGAACUUCUCAGCCUCCAGAACUUAAAAAAAAAAAAAAAAAAAA